GACGAACGCUGGCGGCGUGCCUAAUACAUGCAAGUAGGACGCAGUUGCGAACGGGUGAGUAACGCGUAGGUAACUGCCUAUUAGAGGGGGAUAACUAUUGGAAACGAUAGCUAAUACCGCAUACUAGUAGAUGGACCUGGGUUGUAUUAGGUAGGAGGUAGGGUAAGGGCCUACCUAGGCAACGAUACAUAGCCGGCCUGUGAGGGUGAUCGGCCAAACUGGGACUGAGACACGGCCCAGACUCCUACGGGAGGCAGCAGGAGGGAAUCUUCGGCAAUGGGGGGAACCCUGACCGAGCAACGCCGCGGGAGUGAAGAAGGUUUUCGGAUCGUAAAGCUCUGUUGUUAAGGAAGCGGUACUUAACCAGAAAGGGACGGCUAACUACGUGCCAGCAGCCGCGGUAAUUC
rnacentral:rRNA from 1 species